CGAAGGAUGCAAGCGUUAUCCGGAUUCAUUGGGUUUAAAGGGAGCGUAGGCGGCCUUAUAAGUCAGUCGGUGAAAUCUUUGGGCUUAACCCAAAAAUUGCCAUUGAUACUGUAGGGCUUGAGUACAGUUGCUGUGGGCGGAAUAUGACAUGUAGUGGUGAAAUACAUAGAGAUGUCAUAGAACACCGAUUGCGAAGGCAGCUCACAAAACUGUAACUGACGCUGAGGCUCGAAAGUGCGGGGACCAAACAGGAUUAGAUACCCUGGUAGUCCGCACUGUAAACGAUGAUUACUCGCUGCUGGAAGGUAACUUUCAGUGGCUUAGCGAAAGCGAUAAGUAAUCCACCUGGGGAGUACGCCGGCAACGGUG
rnacentral:rRNA from 1 species